ensembl:misc_RNA 7SK 7SK RNA
GCACGUGAAGGCGAUCUGGCUUCAACAUCUGUCACCCAUUGGUCGCCAGGUUGAUUCAGCUGAUCUGGCUGUCUAGGCGGGUGUCCCCUUCCUCCCUCCCAGCUCUAAGUGCGUCCCUCCCAAAGCUGUGAGAGGGUGAUCACCCGAUAGAGGGGGACCGUUUCCUCAGUCGAGGUGUGCAAGUAUCUGUUGUCCCCUGCUGGAACCUCCACCCAAGCUCUCAGAAUGAGAGAAAAUCUUCACCAGCCACUCUUCUGGCAGAGGACUAAUCUCUAGAAGAUGCAAAGAACUGAAAAACACCUGAAAACCAAAUAGCCCAAACAAUAAAUGGGCAAAUGAGUUGAACAAACACUUC